rnacentral:rRNA from 1 species
GUAGGUGGCGAGCGUUAUCCGGAAUUACUGGGUGUAAAGGGAGCGUAGGCGGGGGAACAAGUUGAAUGUUUAAGAUAUGGGCUCAACUCAUAUAAGCGUUCAAAACUGUUUUUCUUGAGUGAAGUAGAGGUAAGCGGAAUUCCUAGUGUAGCGGUGGAAUGCGUAAAUAUUAGGAGGAACACCAGUGGCGAAGGCGGCUUACUGGGCUUUAACUGACGCUGAGGCUCGAAAGCGUGGGUAGCAAA